CAUAACUACUAACUACACUAGCGGAAAUUCUCUGACAAUUGGUGUAUACACAGUAGGAUAUGCAGCAACAGAUUGUAAUGGGAAUGUUGGUUACUGUCAAUUUACUGUUGAAGUUAAAGAUUGUGAGCCUCCAGACCUUCAAUGUCCACCGAGCCAAAACGUAACAGGUAACGAUAACUGCUGGGCAAAUGUCACAUGGACAGCACCCUAUGUUACAGACAACUCUGGAGACUCUUUCACACCAGUAUGUGAUCAUAUUGGAAGCACAUUUUAUGAUGUCAGCACUGUUGUAACAUGUAAUGCCACUGACAAUUAUAAUAACACUGGCAAUUGUAACUUUACCAUUGCUAUUUACGAUGAGACAGCCCCUAAUGUGACUUGCCCAGUUGACAUUGAGGUGUGCACGGACCUAGGAACAGAUUCAGUCGAUGCCACCUGGAAACCAGCCAAUGCAACCGACAACUGCUGUAGUGAUGUCAACAUAACUACUAACUACACUAGCGGAAAU